AUGCGUUAUAGGCGGUUUGAUUGUUCCAGACAAGGGAAACGUGACAGCAAGUUGCUAACCAAGGAAGGACACAGCCGUAGGCUCAGAGCCGAGACACGCUGCUUUUGCGAAGCGCACCUGACCGUCAAGCUUGACCAAAAGCAUGGGGUUUGGUAUGUUGAAAGUUUUGAGGACAAGCAUAGCCAUAUGUUGGCAGGACCGAACGAGGUACCUUUUCUUUGGUCCCACAGAAAAAUCAAAGAGUACCAGAAGCAUGAGAUAAUGUCCAUGGGAGCUGCAGGGAUUAGAAUUCACGACAUGAUGGAUUGCUUCAUCAGCAAACAUGUAUGGUACGGCGGUGUUGGUUUUACCAGGCGUGAAAUAUAA
rnacentral:rRNA from 1 species